AGAGUUUGAUCCUGGCUCAGAACGUACGCUGGCGGCACGCCUAACACAUGCAAGUCGAACGAAGUAGCAAUACUUAGUGGCAGACGGGUGAGUAACAUGUGGGUAUCUACCCUUUGGCCUGGAAUAACACGAGGAAACUUGUGCUAAUACCGGAUAAGUCUUUACGGAGAAAGCUUUAUGCACCAUUGGAUGAGCCCGCACUUGAUUAGUUUGUUGGUAGGGUAAUGGCCUACCAAGACGAUGAUCAAUAGCUGAUUUGAGAGGAUGAUCAGCCACAUUGGGACUGAGACACGGCCCAAACUCCUACGGGAGGCAGCAGUGGGGAAUCUUGCACAAUGGAGGAAACUCUGAUGCAGCGAUGCCGCGUGAGUGAAGAAGGCCUUUGGGUUGUAAAGCUCUUUCGUCGGGGAAGAAAAUGACUGUACCCGAAUAAGAAGGUCCGGCUAACUUCGUGCCAGCAGCCGCGGUAAUACGAAGGGACCUAGCGUAGUUCGGAAUUACUGGGCUUAAAGAGUUCGUAGGUGGUUGAAAAAGUUGGUGGUGAAAUCCCAGAGCUUAACUCUGGAACUGCCAUCAAAACUUUUCAGCUAGAGUAUGAUAGAGGAAAGCAGAAUUUCUAGUGUAGAGGUGAAAUUCGUAGAUAUUAGAAAGAAUACCAAUUGCGAAGGCAGCUUUCUGGAUCAUUACUGACACUGAGGAACGAAAGCAUGGGUAGCGAAGAGGAUUAGAUACCCUCGUAGUCCAUGCCGUAAACGAUGUGUGUUAGACGUUGGAAAUUUAUUUUCAGUGUCGCAGGAAACCGAUAAACACACCGCCUGGGGAGUACGACC
rnacentral:rRNA from 1 species